rnacentral:rRNA from 1 species
UACGUAGGGGGCGAGCGUUGUCCGGAUUUAUUGGGCGUAAAGAGCUCGUAGGCGGUUCGGUAAGUCGGAUGUGAAAUCUCCACGCUCAACGUGGAGGGGCCAUUCGAUACUGAUCGACUCGAAGGCAGGAGAGGGAAGUGGAAUUCCCGGUGUAGUGGUGAUAUGCGUAGAUAUCGGGAGGAACACCUGUGGCGAAGGCGGCUUCUGGGCCUUACCUGACGCUGAGACGCGAAAGCGUGGGGAGCGAACCGG